GCCAGAGCUGUAUCUCCCUGCAGUUCUCACCUGGUUUCCCACUAAGCAGGGUUGAGCCUGGCCAAUACCUGGAUGGGAGACCUCCUGGGGAAAACCUAAGGUUGCUGCUAGAA
rnacentral:rRNA from 1 species